AGCGAACGCUGGCGGCAGGCCUAACACAUGCAAGUCGAGCGCCCCGCAAGGGGAGCGGCAGACGGGAGAGUAACACGUGGGAACGUACCCUUCAGUUCGGAACAACCCAGGGAAACUUGGGCUAAUACCGGAUACGUCCGUAAGGAGAAAGAUUUAUCGCUGAAGGAUCGGCCCGCGUCUGAUUAGCUAGUUGGUGAGGUAACGGCUCACCAAGGCGACGAUCAGUAGCUGGUCUGAGAGGAUGAUCAGCCUCACUGGGACUGAGACACGGCCCAGACUCCUACGGGAGGCAGCAGUGGGGAAUAUUGACAAUGGGCGCAAGCCUGAUCCAGCAUGCCGCGUGGAUGAUGAAGGCCCUAGGGUUGUAAAGUCCUUUCGACGGGGAAGAUAAUGACGGUACCCGUAGAAGAAGCCCCGGCUAACUUCGUGCCAGCCGCCGCAGUAA
rnacentral:rRNA from 1 species